UACGUAGGGUGCAAGCGUUGUCCGGAAUUAUUGGGCGUAAAGAGCUCGUAGGCGGUCUGUCGCGUCUGCUGUGAAAACUCGGGGCUUAACCCCGGGCCUGCAGUGGGUACGGGCAGACUAGAGUGCGGUAGGGGAGACUGGAAUUCCUGGUGUAGCGGGUGAAAUGCGCAGAUAUCAGGAGGAACACCGAUGGCGAAGGCAGGUCUCUGGGCCAUAACUGACGCUGAGAAGCGAAAGCAUGGGGAGCGAACAGG
rnacentral:rRNA from 1 species